AACGAACGUUGGCGGCGUGGAUUAGGCAUGCAAGUCGAACGAAUCCUCAGGGGCUUGCUCUUGAGGGAAAGUGGCGAAAGGGGCAGUAAGGCGUGGGUAACCUACCCUGGGGACUGGGAUAGCCGUCCUAACGGAUGGGUAAUACCGGGCGAUGUAGCUGGAGGACAUCCACUGGCUACCAAAUGAAUUUCGCCCUGGGAGGGGCUCACGUGGUAUUAGCUAGUUGGUGAGGUAAUGGCUCACCAAGGCCAAGAUGCCUAGCUGGUGUGAGAGCACGACCAGCGCCACUGGCACUGCGACACUGGCCAGACUCCUACGGGAGGCUGCAGUCGAGGAUCUUCCGCAAUGGGCGCAAGCCUGACGGAGCGACGCCGCGUGCGCGAUGAAGGCCUUCGGGUUGUAAAGCGCUUUUGUAGGGGAGGAAAGCGCAAGCUUGACUGUACCCUGCGAAUAAGCUCGGGCUAAGUUCGUGCCAGCAGCCGCAGUAAAAC
rnacentral:rRNA from 1 species